AGGGGGCAAGCGUUGUCCGGAAUUAUUGGGCGUAAAGGGCUCGUAGGCGGUUUCUUAAGUCUGAUGUGAAAGCCCACAGCUCAACUGUGGAGGGUCAUUGGAAACUGGGGAACUUGAGUGCAGAAGAGGAGAGUGGAAUUCCACGUGUAGCGGUGAAAUGCGUAGAUAUGUGGAGGAACACCAGUGGCGAAGGCGACUCUCUGGUCUGUAACUGACGCUGAGGAGCGAAAGCGUGGGGAGCAAACAGGAUUAGAUACCCUGGUAGUCCACGCCGUAAACGAUGAGUGCUAGGUGUUAGGGGGUUUCCGCCCCUUAGUGCUGAAGUUAACGCAUUAAGCACUCCGCCUGGGGAGUACG
rnacentral:rRNA from 1 species